CCUACGGGGCGCAGCAGUGGGGAAUAUUGGACAAUGGGCGAAAGCCUGAUCCAGCCAUGCCGCGUGUGUGAAGAAGGCCUUCGGGUUGUAAAGCACUUUCAGUGGGGAAGAAAGCCUUGGGGCUAAUACCCUCGAGGAAGGACAUCACCCACAGAAGAAGCACCGGCUAACUCCGUGCCAGCAGCCGCGGUAGUACGGAGGGUGCGAGCGUUAAUCGGAAUUACUGGGCGUAAAGCGCGCGUAGGCGGUCUGAUAAGCCGGUUGUGAAAGCCCCGGGCUCAACCUGGGAACGGCAUCCGGAACUGUCAGGCUAGAGUGCAGGAGAGGAAGGUAGAAUUCCCGGUGUAGCGGUGAAAUGCGUAGAGAUCGGGAGGAAUACCAGUGGCGAAGGCGGCCUUCUGGACUGACACUGACGCUGAGGUGCGAAAGCGUGGGUAGCAAACAGGAUUAGAUACCCUGGUAGUC
rnacentral:rRNA from 1 species